UGAUUUAUUUAAAUGGCUGCAGUAUAUUGACUGUACAAAGGUAGCAAAGUAAUUAGUUUUUUAAUUGAGAACUUGUAUGAAAGGAUAUAUGAAAUAUUAUCUUUAUUAAUUUUAUUAUUAGAAUUUUAUUUUUUAGUUAAAAAGCUAAAUAUUGUUUUAGGGACGAUAAGACCCUAUAGAAUUUAAAAUAUAAAUUUAUUGAAUUGUUUUUAGAUUUAAUUUUUUCAUUUAAUUUAAAUUUUUAAUUGGGGUAAUUGAUAAAUUUUGUUUUUUUUUUUUAAUUCAUUGAUAUAUGUUUAUUUGAUCUUUAUUAAAGAUUAUAAGAUAAAUUACCUUAGGGAUAACAGCGUAAUUUUAAUGGAAAGUUCAUAUUUAAAUUGAAGUUUGCGACCUCGAUGUUGAAUUAAGAUAGUUUUAUGGUGUAGAAGCUUUAAUUAUAAGUCUGUUCGACUUUUAUAAUCUUACA
rnacentral:rRNA from 1 species